rnacentral:lncRNA from 1 species
UUCCCAGUACAAUAAAAUAAAAAGCAAUCCAGGGUCUGAGAUAUCCAUAGUUGCUAUCUGAAUCAAAGGAAGAGCUCCCUGGUGUCUUAGGAGAAAACCUACCACUGUGGUCCCAUCUGAGGCCUAUUAAAAGAGUCAGCACUUCUGGAGGUAUGACAGGCUAGGGAAAUAGUGGUGGCCCACUAAGUUGCCUCAAGUUGAGGACAGCCUUCUAGUCAGAUAUGGCAAGGAUUUGGUACAGGGCUAGUCAUGGAGGAAGAGAAGGGAAGAACCAAGAAAAAUACACAAAUGGGUUUGUUCUUUCCUCUAGGUCUUCUGUUAGUAAAGAGAAAACUCUAUACAAGGUAGUCAACAAUACAGACAACAUCAUUGACAAUAAAAAUUAUGGAUUACAAAAUACAUUAAUGUGUGCAGCAGUGACAGAGCAAAAGCAGAAGAGUACUAAGGACUCUAGGGGGAAAGUCCAUUUAGUAGCAGCAUUACAGGCCUAAACACCUGCAGUUUGAAAACAAAGAAACUUAAAGCAGUGGUGAUCUGGCACAAUACAAUAAUCCAUAUCAUCCUUGUUGGUGCUUCCGUUCUUCAGUCGUGUGUUGACUCACCAGCCUCUGGAGUGGUCAGGGAGGCUACAAAAGAGCUCAUCGGUGACACUCAAGCAGUCAUGAUUGGGAAGGCCUAUCUCGGAGGGCAAGAAGGUAACAGAAUUUAAAGCUUUUACAGGAAUAAACCAUAAGCGGGGGUUCUCACAGAGAAGGGCUUGAUACUGAGUAACCUGAUUAUUUGAGAGCCAUUGAUGCCCUCUUGUGUUUAACAGUUCCAAGACCACGUGUGGAACCUGCACAGUAAGGUCCUGACCUAGAGUUAGCUUGUCUGCUUCUUGGAUUAAUAAAACUGAGGCUGCCAAGGCCCGAAGGGAAGGAGGCCACACGUUUGCUACUGGAUCUAAAUUUUUAGACAAGUAUGCCACUGGUUUAUUCCAUGGACCUACUUCUUGGGUUAAUACUCCAAGGGCCACAUGGUUCUUCUCAGUCACAUACAGAACAAAAGGCUGCUUUACAUCCAGUAUGCCUAAAGCAGGGGCAGCUGCUAAGGUCAGUUUUAUUUUUUUUUUAAAGUUUGUUUUUUUUCUAGAGCCCAAAGUAAAUGAUUUUUUUCUUUUCCCUUUAGGACUUCAUAAACAGGUUUAGUCAUCUCUGCAAAACCAGGAAUCCAAAUUUUACAGCAGCCUGUCGCCCCAAGAAGCUCCCUCAGCUGUCUCUUAUCUCAUUUAUCUUUCCUCUUAGCCCAUUCCUUGUCUUUCACUAACUCUCUAUUUACAUACACUUUCCUACCCAAUUGUAGCAACUGUGUUAUAUUCAUACCCUCCCAAGUUUCUUGCUUUUGAAUUUUCCUUCUAAUAUCUUGAGCUAACUGGGUCACAAAGUCAUACUGAUUAGCUGAUGGUUAUCAGGAACAGCAGGAUCAAAUGGUGUAUAAAUUCUGUAAACUUUACAGAACCACUCGUAAAAUUUCUCAGGGCUCUCAUCGGGCUCCUGCUGUGUUUCUAGCACUUUAAUCAUAUUUGUAGGCCUUUUACUUGAGGCUCGUAUCCCUGCCAAGAGGGCUGUCUGAUAAUUGCUUAAGCUGUCCUGGCUUCCUGGGGUGUUGGGGUUCCAAUUGUGCCACUCAUUUACUGGAAAUUGUUGUUCAUGUCAAGCAUCUGGAUUUUGUGUGCCUGCCGGCAUUCUAGGAGAAUUGAUCUUUUCAAUUUCUCCUAAAACUCUCUGCAUUUCUUUAGAGGUUAACAAAGUUCUACAAAGUUCUUUACAGUCCUCCCAAUUAGGACAAUGGGUAGCAAAGAUGGAAUCAAAUAAUUGAAACAUUUUGGAGGGGUCUUGGCAGAGAAUAAAUGACUUUCUUUUUCUCUGGACCUAGCCUCCUUUGUCCUUUUUUAAAGUCAAAUCUGAAAUAUCACACCUUGGUCUGACAUAUUUGUGCCUUUUCCCAACAGUCUUCUUUUUUUUUUUUUAAACUCACUAUAAAGGAGGGGGUCAUAUUGUAACCUGCUGGCUCUUAAACCCUUUGAAGAUGACCAAUGUACACAUAUUAUAGUAACAUAUUUAGAAUUUAACCCUUUGAUGACAAUUGAUGUAAACAUAAACUUUUCAUAACAAACUUGAAAUAUUUUCUUGAUAAAUCAUUUUCUCACAUCUUUUGACAUACCUAGGCCUUCUGGUCUUGUAUAUCUUUUUAGCUUUCUAACAAGACAAACAUACAAAAUUUUUAUAUCAAAAUUGUAUCUUUUAUUUAUAGCUUUUUAAUAUUUUUUUAUUUCACUAUAGACCUUUUAUCAUAAACUUGUCUUUAGCUGUUAAAAUUUUUAAGUGUCCUUUUCUCUUCUCAGAUUGUUGCACUUUAAAUUUGGUUGGCUGCCAACAGAAGGGUAGUAACCUUGAGUUUUUUUUAUCAACAAAGUACAGAAAAGAGCAAUUUAACUGUAUAAUUACAAAGAAUUUGCAAGGUACAAGAAAUAUUUUAAGCACACCAAUUAAACAUCAACUCAAACUGAAACACAG